GCCGCAUUGGCGUAGUGGUAUGCGCGCCCCACUUGUACCGUACAGGUCAUGGGGAGGUCACUCGUUCGACCCGGGUAUGUGGCA